AACGAACGCUGGCGGCAUGCCUAACACAUGCAAGUCGAACGAGACCUUCGGGUCUAGUGGCGCACGGGUGCGUAACGCGUGGGAACCUGCCCUUAGGUUCGGAAUAACUCCCCGAAAGGGGUGCUAAUACCGGAUAAUGUCUUUGGACCAAAGAUUUAUCGCCUUUGGAUGGGCCCGCGUUGGAUUAGCUAGUUGGUAGGGUAAAAGCCUACCAAGGCGACGAUCCAUAGCUGGUCUGAGAGGAUGAUCAGCCACACUGGGACUGAGACACGGCCCAGACUCCUACGGGAGGCAGCAGUGGGGAAUAUUGGACAAUGGGCGAAAGCCUGAUCCAGCAAUGCCGCGUGAGUGAUGAAGGCCUUAGGGUUGUAAAGCUCUUUUACCCGGGAUGAUAAUGACAGUACCGGUAGAAUAAGCUCCGGCUAACUCCGUG
rnacentral:rRNA from 1 species